GUAGUUUACGAGUUGGAGUUAAGUGGUUUCAAAUUUCUUUUUCUCGUCAGUGGUUACAAACUUACAAUUUAAAAUUUUUAUCUUAAGCUCUCCUCUCUUCUCUCUCCAAAAUCUUUCAGAGAGGAGAGCUUGAUAAUCGUUUUGUCUCCAGUUUGAUCCGGAUUUGUUUAUAUUCUCGUCUCUAUGCGAGAUCAAUAAUUUCCGAUUACAUAUCGGAUCUUCUGUUACCGACUAUGACCGGUCUUUUCUCCGUUUUUAACGGAACUUGAUCUUUAUCUCCAUUGUUGCUCACCCAUCGAUCUCAACGUUUUCUUCCAAGAUCUUUGUUGUCUCCAUUUCUUCGUGGAUUAACAUCUUCGUCACCUCCGAUUGCUCAAGACGCAAGAGCAAAAAUGGACUUUAGACUACAUCAAGAUAGAUGUAAUCGGUGGUGGAGUCUCCCGAAACUGGUGAUUCCAAAGAAUUUGUGAAGCAGCUCUACCUUUUAAUCCGGUAAAUGAUUUCGAUGCUUCUUUUGAUUGGAGUGGAGAUCGGCAGGAAGGAACAGUCUACCCAUCGCACUGAUCGGCGGUGGUUGAUCGGAGACGGCGGUGUUUAGCAACGUGAAGACGGCAGCGCUCGAUUCCUGACGCGUGGAUAGGUAGGGUACACGUCUCCAACACGUGUCAGAAGCUAGAAUUAUAAUUUUUAUGGACCGUUCUUCUCGCAUGUACUUGUUAUUGGGUUUUUCCUUACUGUACUUGUCCUAUGGGCUUUUUAAUAUAAUCUUUCGCCGGAAAAAAAAAA